CUGCCAUAGACAAAGGAUGCACUCGGAGCCCCACCACACCUAAAGCCACGCUUUGAAGGAUCUGCCAAGCUCACUUUUAAUCAUGAGAAAGAAAUUACCCACAUGGAGUCAGCAGAAAAUGAGAAAGUAGAGCUCGUGCUGUGAAUAAUUCCAGCAAGUGCCAAGGGGCUAGUUGAGGAAUGGCUUCAUGAGG
ensembl:misc_RNA